UAAGGUUUCAAUUAAAAACCUUAUUUAGAAACUUAGUAGAGAGUAUUUUGUAAAUGAUCAAGAAGGAGGGGUGAAUGUGGAAAUAUGAGUUAUAGUUAACUAAAUAAGUCAAGGAGGAAAAGAAAUCUCCACAACCUUGAUACGUGCAGUGAGGUAUAUGCCAAUGGAGAAAAAGAGACCAAGAGAAAGUGAUUUCCAACUUGAAAUCUGGAAAUUCAAAGUGUAAAUCUUGUUAAUGCAAGUUUAUAAUCUGAUUUCUAGCAUCAUCAUCUCUUUUUUUUGAAUUUAGAAGAUUAGCUAAAAUCCAACAAGGAACGCAAGGUGGAAGCUUUGGGCAAACAAGGAUUGUAAAACAAAGGACGCGCACAGGAAACGUCUUGAAAUCUCGGGUUGUCACAGUAGAUAUGUAGGUGCGUAUGAUUAGACGUAUGAAUAUACGAAUGCACGAAGUAGGAUUUAUCGCCUAUGAAAAGAAUGGGACAGGUAUGCAUGUAUACAUGGUUUCAAUACGUUUGAGUAUGGACGUUACUAAUGAUGUGCUUGAGAUUGGAAUGUAAUGCAGGAAUGAGAACGUCAGACUCUUGUAGAAUUGAAGCCGAACCUGGAAGCCGAACUCGAAACAAAGGAAUCCGAGAGGAUAGUCGAAUGAAUUAAAGUUUAUGUUGUUGAAUGUUAUAUGAUUUUUAAUUGUACCAGAUUAUUGUUGUAUGAUGUUGUCAAUGACUAAUGGUUAAGUUGUAUGUGAUGUCCACAGGUACUACACGGAUUUCUUCUACCACUAUCAAAGAUAAGCGGGCAUAGAUCGAGUCGAAUAACAAGGAUUGUACGGAAAGAACGGUUACGUAGUCUUAAUUUUGUAACGCAUUAAUUUGUAAAAAGGGAAGUGAAUUUUGUAAGCUUCUUCUUGAAUGUGUGUAUUAUUUUAAGAUCGUAAAGAAAUCUUUAAAGCUAUU